GUCUCCGUUGGUGAACCAGCGGAGGGAUCAUUACCGAGUUUACAACUCCCAAACCCAAUGUGAACCAUACCAAACUGUUGCCUCGGCGGGGUCACGCCCCGGGUGCGUCGCAGCCCCGGAACCAGGCGCCCGCCGGAGGGACCAACCAAACUCUUUCUGUAGUCCCCUCGCGGACGUUAUUUUUACAGCUCUGAGCAAAAAUUCAAAAUGAAUCAAAACUUUCAACAACGGAUCUCUUGGUUCUG
rnacentral:misc_RNA from 1 species